rnacentral:lncRNA from 1 species
ACCCGUCGUCUCGCAGCCCUGGAGCGGGGCCUCGGGAGGCCGCAAGGGGGCUCGGGUUGCUUUCUUUGUGCCCCGCAAUCCCGCGGCUGCUCGCUCGAAGGUCGCCUUCUCCCCGCAGGCCCGGGCAACCGCACGUGCGCGUAGGAGAUCCCAAGCGAGGGGAACCCCCUAGUUCUUGCCUCUGGCGAGUGCGGACUGGUCAGCCUCAGCCGCGGAAACAACCUGGUCCCUAAUGUCGACCGUGGCUCGGAACCUCCCUUUACUCCGAAGAUUCAAGGUAUUCGCUGAGCCCACCACGUUGUCCUCGCGGUUCUCAGGCAUCAGUCGCAAGCCCCGUGAUGUUUCCAGUGCGGUUUUCAUUCGCCAUGAUUUUGUGGGGUCACUCUCAAGGUUUUAUCAGACGUCUCCCAGGUGGCGAUAAGGAAAAUACCGUUUCUGCACAGUGUCUGUUGAUGCGAGACAUUGGAUUGAGCAGCAUUCUGUGUUGAUGUCAGAAUAAAUGCGUUCACAAUUGAUAAUUGCGUUUUAUUAAUAUACAUUAUAGAGCACUUGAUUUUUCACAUAGCUUUACUUACAGGUAUGUGGCACUGUAGUAUUUUUUGUUACCGUUCCUUUUAACUUUGCGAGCAUUUGUGCCAAACUUAAUGCAGAAAGACUUAAGUUCCUGAGGGCGAGACCACAUAAACGUAUUUGGUGUCCUCAAGGCACCAGGCACAGUAAGGUUUAAUGGAUACCAGGUGACUUUAAAGUAAGCCCAAGGAAAUUUUUCAGAUUUUUUAAAAAAAAUAUUUUUCAUUACUGACAAAAACAGAGUGCUAAGAAGGCCCUCAGUAAAUUCUUAGUAACCAUUUAUUACCAAUUACGUUAAAUUAAUUUAACAAACAUUUAUAUUAUAUAUAUUGAUAUAUAUAUAUCAUAUAUAUAUGAUAUAUUAUGUGUACCGUAUUCCAAGUACUGUACAAAUAAUAAUUCGUUGAUCCUCAAAACCCUGGGAGAUAAGGUAGCUUUACUGUCAUUAUUUAACGUGGGGACAGGUAAAACUGAGGGACAGAGAAGUUAAGCAACUUACCCUAUGUUACACAGCUAUCAUCUGGUGGAAGCAGGAUUUAAACCUAUGUGGAUGGUCUCCAAAGUCACCAUUUGUCUAACAUUGAUCAGAAGAAACCUGUGGAUGUUGUGGUAAAUUGCUUUCUCACCAUUUGAAAUCCUUGACUUGAGCUACAAGAGAUACAGUUUACUUUUUUGGGAAUUUCAUUAUACUAUAGUCCCCCCUUAUCCACAGUUUUACUUUCCAUGGUUUCAGUUACCCAUGGUCAGGAAGCAGAUGAUUCUCCUGAUGUAUCAGCAGAAGGUCAAUAGUAGCCUAAUCAAGUCAUAGUAUUUACGUCGUUCACCUUAUUUCAUCUCAUCAUGGAAGGCAUUUUAUCAUCUUACAUCAUCACAAGGAGGGUGAGUACAGAACAAAAAGAUUAGAUAAAGACCACAUUCACAUAACUUUAUUGCAAUAUAUUGUUACAAUUAUUCUAUCUUAUUAUUAGUUAUUGUCAAUCUAUUAUUGUACCUAGUUUAUAAAUUAAACUAUAACAUAUGUAUGGAUGCAGAGGAAAACUGUAUCCACAGGGUUUAAUACUAUCCAUGGUUUUAGGCAUCUACUGGGAUUCUUGGAACAUAUCCCCCAUGGAUAAGUGGGGGAGGGGGGGUGGGGAACUACUGUAUUGUUUCGAGGGUUCCCAUGAAAUCCAAGUAUUAUGAAAAUAACAGAGAAAAAAGGGUUUGGACUAGAUGUAAGGUUUUGUGUCAGCAUGUAACAAUGUUGCAACAAUGUCACAUCUUUCCAAUCACAUUUAGUUUUGUGUUGUGGAUGUGACAUUUGCCCUACAUACAUGGAAAAUUCAAUAAAUAGCAUUAAGCCACAUAUAGACCAAAUUAAAGACAACUUUUUGAUAUACUUUAUUUUGGAGGGACUCUUUCUAGAAUCCUGGAAUAUUCAUACUGUCCUCACUGUUUAAAAUGUGUGCCUUUUUAGAGACUAGCUUUAAUAGUAAAA